CAGCACCUCCCCGAGCAGCCUUAAUAUCAGCAUCGUCUUCAGUGACUCCGUCUUCUCCCCACUGACCGGAGGAGCGGUAGUCAACAAAAGCUUGGGUGGCAACGGAGGAGCGAGGGAUCCAAGAUUCACCUUGGCCGCCCUACGCCAGCUCGGCAUUCACUUAGAGGAGGGCGAAGAUCUAGAUUCCUUCAUUGCAAACCUUACCAUUCCUCCACCACCUGAAGGAGGUGUGAACCUUCAGACGUGCGCGGAGAACCGUAAGAUGGGGAACGAGUACGACAUCUCUGCGUUUAUUAUCCCGCCGCCUCCUCCACCCUCGGACGAGAAGGACAACAGGUCGUUCGACAUUAUACGGAGCCAAAGAAGGAAUCAGUAGGGUGAUUUGUUAUGGUGUGCGAGGACAACAGCGAACUGGAGGUCGGGGAGAAGGACCACGACAUCGGCGAGGUGCACGUCAGCUCAGAGACGAUGGCCAAGCGUGCCAAUGUUGCGGGGAAGGUCGCAUCUCUGCAGAGGCGCUUCGAAGUUCCUCCCAGGACUGCCUACGGUAGUCCGCCUACCUCAAGUGCCUCCGUAGACAAUCGUCAGUUGCUACCGAGAUCAAAUAAUUCUAAUGUAGGACAUGAACUGCAUGCCAAAUUGGCACAGGCAUUAGAGGAAAAUGAUAAGAUAUUCAAAAGUUUCGACACUCAACAAAUGACGAGUGCCAAAAAUACCGGCGGAAGUUGGGAGAGCGGCGACUCCAAGCAGUCGUCGGUCACGGCCAGAGUACGAACCUUCAGCUCUGGGGGAAACUGGACCGCCUCUUCUCUUCAGCGCCAAAAGACCGUGCCAACCAGUAAGGCAGAGGGAAAAUAGGAGGACUCUCCAACUCCCCCCUCCUCCACGAACGCCCUUCACACGAACCGGCACUCUGACUAACCCAAAGAAAUCCAAGCCUUCUCCUCCCUCGUCAAAAAUCCAGAGAAGUAUAUCUAUGAGCACAGGUAACCUCUCCAAGUCUGCCUCUCAAGACGACAUGACGAGUCACGCCAGUUACAACACCAUCCUGAAGUCGAGCACCAAAGCCUCGGCCUCCAGCGAAGACGUCAGCCAAGCCAAAGCCUCCCCGGGGUCCCCCUCCAAACAAAGCGUAGCCUCCAGUAACGAUUCUCUCACGUCGUCCUCCAGUGAAUUCCUCUACUGAAGAAUUACUCUUAAAACUUUCAAUAAAUCUCUAAACAUCAUUAAUGAACUACAGCUCAGCCAGUCUUGAGGUCACCUGCCUUGUUUUAUUAUUUUUGUGAUUUUUUUUUUUUUUACAUUACUGUCCUGCUAAAUGAAUUGAAGCAGAUGAUAACUUACAGCAAUGAUG